rnacentral:lncRNA from 1 species
UUUUGUUUUUUUCCUUUUUUUUUUCCCCUCUCUCUAAUCUACACAGAGAGAGCGCAAGCGCGACGGGAGGCCUUUCAUGGACUUCCGGUCAAGCUGAGGUCAUACGAUUGAAUCCAAGAAAAUAUUCUAGAAAAGCAAAGUUUCAUCUGAAUUUUUCUGCUAACAAAACUAGAAUAGUCAUAUGCCAUUAGGCAGAAAACUCAAAUGGAUAACACAUACUCAGAACUCCCGACAAUACCAGAGAGGGUCGAGUAUUGUCGGGGUACCGAGACUUUCUUCACCAACCUCUUGCUUCUCUAACUCCUCGCUGGGCUAGGACGUUUGCCACGCGACGAAGGAUUGAAGAAGAAAGAGACCGAAGAGAU